rnacentral:lncRNA from 1 species
UAGAUCCUGUGGUAGCGAUGGUGAUGAGGCUGCUACUGGUGAUUGUUUGAAAGUGCCAAGAGAUAAGUGCAAGCCAAGCUCCCCCAUCCAGUUUUGCCUGCCUCUCAGGUGGGGGCACGGCUGCCUGUGUGGUGGGGAGUCCAUUCUUUACUGGAGACCAGGGCACUGGCCGGUUAGGGCCCAGCUGCUGGGAGCUCAACCAGGGAGACACAUCCUCAAUGAGUUUCUGCAAGGAUGAUGUCUCAGCCUCACUGCCACACCCACUGCUGCACCUAUCUUCUCCACUGGGAUGCCCCUGAACUUGGCUUCCUAGAGCCUCAGUGUUGGGGAUGGGGAUGGGGCACAGAAGCUGUCCUGUUGGGUGGGACCAGGGUGAGGAGAGUUCUUAGAGCAGACUGGGCCACCAUAGUGUGUUCCAGGGACUCAGACCUCUGUGGCUUCCUCCUUGUCCGGGGGCAAAAGACAACAGUAGACCAUCAUGGAAGACACCAAAAAUACCAGCCAGGGCUGAGUUCAUCCUGUGACAAACACCUGUGCAGCCUCUUUUCAUGUCCAAAUC